CAGAUUGGCGGAGUUGUUGUGGGAUCUGGCUUUGGGCUACCUGUGAAUGCAUGGCGCGAGUACUGGGUCCAGUGAGUGGAAACGAGGCAAAAUUCAAAUUCAAAAGAGAACUAGGUUGGAUCAGUUUUUGUGAGCUUUAUAGCGGGUUUCAGCUGGGUUUUUGCGAAACUUUCUUUUCAACAGCUAUAGAAACUGGCCUUUACCCAUGCUCAAGGAGAAUUUCAGUCGAAAUGAAAUUAAAUAACACCAAGGGACUUUUGCCACAAAAGAGAGAGAAGCAAAGCCAGGAUGCAACAUGAUGAUGGGUUAUCAAGCUGGUGAUUUGAAGACCUUGGGGUCUUUAUAUCAACAACUAGAUGCUUCAAUUGUAGACUCCGGGGUUGUCAGUAAGCAAAGCACCAGGAGACAUUAUAGAGGCUCUCCAUGGCUGGAUCACUGGAAAACCUGAGUAGUACUGUAGUAUCUAGAGUUUCAUGGCAUUUCCUACAGCCCUUCUUGCCAUGCAUCUACAGUAAACACCCACAAUAAGAACCUACUUUUUUUCUGAGUUACUAUAGCCUAAACAUGUUCUUAUAUGAGAGGUGCACAGUGAUAUUUUAGGCUAUUUACUAUAGGCUCUUCCUCUUAUAGUAGAUUCUUAUUUUUAUAUGAAGUUAUGGUAACAUUGUCUGGCAGACUUAUUGAUGUAGAUUGUAAAAAAAGACCAUCCUCAUCUCUAAAAUUGUGAACCAAAUGCUUGGCUUAGAGGUUCUUAUUUGAACAUUUUAGGCCAACAGGUUCUGAUACACAGGUGCUCCUUGCAGUUGUAAAAGUUCAAUAUGUUCUAUUUAAAAAAGAUCUUUCUUUUUGGACCCGCA